CCCCGCCCGGCUCCGACACGCCUCCGCGCUUAAAGGGGAACGCGCGGGGAGCGAGCGGGACGCGGAGACAGCGCCCAGCCGCCCGGGGGGCGCGGGGGACACGCGCGGGACAGAAAUCCCUCUUCGUCGGGUAUCAGCCUGCUGCUUCCUGGAAAACGGCACACGAGACUGUGAGGAGGAGGGGACAUCGGAGCUGGUAUGCGAGUGUGGAAACAUCCCACCAAAUCUAGCAGGAAAAACCCCUAAAACAAGGAGCCCAAAUGAAAUUAAGAGAUCUAAGUGAUGUCUAGAGGCGAGGAACUGAAUCCAGUGUCUGCUAAGAUCCUUUUUACCUUUCACCCUAACCUAAGGAUGUCAGCUAGAAAGAGGAGCUCGAAUGUCAAAGCAAAGAACUGGAAUGAACUGAUUCCCUUGUAAGGAUGGAAGCUCCAGCUCUGCCUGCUUACUAGCGGAUGCAGCUCCAGUCUUCCUCCUCUUCCGUGCCCCUCCUAGGAGCAGCAGCGGUGUGUGCAUGACCUGCCGAUUCUCCCCACCCGAGCUGAUUUUUUAAUAAAGGCAGUAAAAAGGAGAAA